AUCAAUAAGCGGAGGAAAAGAAACUAACAAGGAUUCCCCUAGUAACUGCGAGUGAAGCGGGAAAAGCUCAAAUUUAAAAUCUGGCAGAUGUUUGUCUGUCCGAGUUGUAACCUAGAGAAGUGUAACCUGUGCUGGACCGUGUACAAGUCUCUUGGACAUAGAGCAUCAUAGAGGGUGGGAAUCCCGUCUUUGACAUGGACUACCAGUGCAUUGUGGUUGCGCACUCAACGAGUCGAGUUGUUUGGGAAUGCAGCUCUAAAUGGGUGGUAAAUUCCAUCUAAAGCUAAAUAUUGGCGAGAGACCGAUAGCGAACAAGUACCGUGAGGGAAAGAUGAAAAGAACUUUGGAAAGAGAGUUAAACAGUAUGUGAAAUUGUUGAAAGGGAAACGCUUGAAGUCAGCUGCAUUGGCUGGGAAUCAAGCCAGCUUAUUUGCUGGGUGUACUUCCUGGUUGAUGGGCCAACAUCAGUUUUGACCAUCAGAGAAAGGCUAAGGGAAUGUGGCACCUU
rnacentral:rRNA from 1 species